AGUCGCGUGCGCAGUUCCUGUAGCAAUACGGGGAUGGGCGCACGGCGCACGGGUGCGUAACACGUGGGCAAUCUGCCCUCCGAUGGGGAAUAACCCCGCGAAAGCGGGGCUAAUUCCGCAUAACAUUCCUUGGACCAACGUUCGAGGAUUCAAAGCAGUAAUGCGUCGGAGGAGGAGCCCGCGCCCGAUUAGCUAGUUGGUGAGGUAACGGCUCACCAAGGCAAUGAUCGGUAGCUGGUCUGAGAGGAUGGCCAGCCACACUGGAACUGAGACACGGUCCAGACUCCUACGGGAGGCAGCAGUGGGGAAUCUUGCACAAUGGGCGAAAGCCUGAUGCAGCGACGCCGCGUGGGGGAUGAAGCUUCUCGGAGUGUAAACCCCUUUCGACUGGGACGAAUGCCUCGCAAGAGGAGUGACGGUACCAGUAUAAGAAGCCCCGGCUAACUACGUGCCAGCAGCCGCGGUAAGACGUAGGGGGCCAGCGUUGUUCGGAAUUACUGGGUGUAAAGGGUUCGUAGGCGGUGUGGCAAGUUGGGAGUGAAAUCUCUGGGCUUAACCCAGAGGCUGCUUCCAAAACUGCUGUGCUUGAGUGUGAGAGAGGCGCGUGGAAUUGCAGGUGUAGCGGUGAAAUGCGUAGAUAUCUGCAGGAACACCCGUGGCGAA
rnacentral:rRNA from 1 species